AGCGAACGCUGGCGGCAUGCCUAACACAUGCAAGUCGCACGGGGGGGCUUCGGCCUCCCAGUGGCGGACGGGUGAGGAACGCGUAGGGACCUGUCGAGGGGUGGGGGAUAACCGCGGGAAACUGCGGCUAAUACCGCAUGACGCCGCGGCGUGACAGCCGGGGCCAAAGGCGAAAGCCGCCCGCCGAGGGGCCUGCGUCCGAUUAGCUGGUUGGCGGGGUAGCGGCCCACCAAGGCGUCGAUCGGUAGCUGGUCUGAGAGGGUGAUCAGCCACACCGGGACUGAGACACGGCCCGGACUCCUACGGGAGGCAGCAGUGGGGAAUAUUGGACAAUGGGCGCAAGCCUGAUCCAGCGAUGCCGCGUGGGUGAAGAAGGUCUUCGGAUUGUAAAGCCCUUUCGGCGGGGACGAUGGUGACGGUACCCGCAGAAGAAGCCCCGGCUAACUUCGUG
rnacentral:rRNA from 1 species